rnacentral:rRNA from 1 species
UCGAAACCUGCAAAGCAGACCCGAGAACUUGUUCAAUUGAAUUCGUGGACAUGAUGUUGGAUGUCUCUGCGUCCAACAUUGUGUCCUCUGACCCCAAACGGCUCCAGUCGGUUGGGCGUACUAACCUCUCGGCGCGGCAAGCGCCAAGGAAAACCAAACAGAUCGCCUCUCCACGUGGGGUGCUACCCAAUAUGUGGAGGAGCGACUAUGAAAAUAGUCAUAACGACUCUCGGCAACGGAUAUCUCGGCUCUCGCAUCGAUGAAGAACGUAGCGAAAUGCGAUACUUGGUGUGAAUUGCAGAAUCCCGUGAACCAUCGAGUCUUUGAACGCAAGUUGCGCCCAAAGCCAUCAGGCUGAGGGCACGUCUGCCUGGGCGUCACGCAUCUCGUCACCCCCCAUCAUCAUCUUUCCCACUUAUUGUCGGGAACGAUGCAUGAAACGCGGGGGUGGAAAUUGGCCUCCCGUUACCAGAGCGUAGCGGCCGGCCCAAAUUUGAAGCCGUGUCGAUGGAUGUCGCACGAUACGUGGUGGUUGGAUUGCUCAACUUGAAAACUAUCGUGCGGGACUAUCGACCCACGGGCCCGACCCAAUGGCGUGAAAUGCCUACGAAUGUA